rnacentral:tRNA from 1 species
GGGCCCGUAGCUCAGUCUGGUAGAGCAACUGGCUCUUAUACAGUUUCCGCAAAUUCGAAUCGCGUCGGGCCCA